UACGGAGGGUGCAAGCGUUGUCCGGAAUCACUGGGCGUAAAGGGCGCGUAGGCGGCUCAUGAAGGCUGUGGUGAAAGUCCGGGGCUCAACCCCGAGUCGGCCGUGCGAACUGGGCUCACUGGAGCAUAGUAGAGGCAGGUGGAAUUCCGGGUGUAGCGGUGGAAUGCGUAGAGAUCCGGAAGAACACCGGUGGCGAAGGCGGCCUGCUGGGCUAUGGCUGACACUGAGGCGCGACAGCGUGGGGAGCAAACAGG
rnacentral:rRNA from 1 species